rnacentral:lncRNA from 1 species
UCACGAAAAAUCCCACAUUGCUCCUCGGUUUUAAUCACUUCCGCUUCCAUUACCGAUUUUUCAUCCAAAAACGGCCUAUUCACAUUUGACAAACUCUCUUCAUCGUCCGCCAUGGGAACCCAACUUUAUUUUCAAACACUGCCCCUUGAAUUUGCGUAGGCACCGCACUAUAGGUGAAUAGUGCUAUACAAAUGUGCAUACGUGUUGAAAGAACGCUCAAUGCUGAUGAAUUUUAUUCUCUUGCGUUUUGGGGUUUCAUUUUUUCCUUAAGGAGCCAGCCAACACAUGAAAUUGAUGACUGCUUGGAACUUGUAAAGAGAAUCCGCUUAUCAUUUUGUGGAUCAUGGGCCGGAGAGUUUAAAAGGUGGGAUGUUCUAGCUGAGCCCUUGGGCCUUUUGUGUUUCGAUCCAUUCCUUGUGUGUGUUUUGGGCUUUGGGAGAUUUAUCUAGUCUACCAAUCAUACCCUCUAUAGGUGUAUUUUUACGAGAAAAAAUUGCAAUUGGGGUUCCAAACCUUUUUAAAAACUGUAAAGGAUUCUCGACAUUCUAUUUUUGGCCCUGCCAUUGCAAAGGUUUGUAAAAAUAUACACUGAAAAGACCUUUAGAAGGUAACCAACCGAAUGUCUGUCAAUUGAACAAAUGUGCAGGAAUUAACCUUUAGUUGAUCAUUCUUAAAAAAGGAAAAAUAUAUAUAUCUACAUUUUCCCACUUAAUUCACCAAUUAACCCAACCUAACCUUGCUCCCUUCUUCUUAUCGUCAUCACCAUCACAAUUUGCUCAUCUUCUAUUCCACAACUUGUAAAUUUCAUUGAGAAAAUUUGUAUCAUCCCACCACUCCUCCAUCACCACCAAUAAAGUUGAGUGCUUUACAUUCAUGAUAUUUAUGUUACUUAAUUUAUUAUUUUGUUAUCCUUCAGAGUGUUUUAGAACGUUUUAAUGUGUGUUUUGAUGUUGUGAGAUAGGUUAAUGAAAUUGAAGAAAAUAAGCAAAAGUUGACAAAAUUGGAGAGAAUGACCAAAUUGUAAGAGAUCCAAAAUUUGAGGACUAAAAUGUAAACAAUUAAAAGUUGUGUUGAACCUCGAAUUGAAGAUCCGAAAGUGCUAUGAGUCAAUUGGAUGAAGAAAGAUGUCAAAGGGAUCAAAUUUAGUAAAAAUAUGAUACAAAUCAAUUUUCAACCGAAAAAAGUUAUGCUAUGGAUUUUAGUUUCAUAUUGACACCCAUUUUUGACAUAGAAAACGAUCUAAUUGGAGAAUGAUGUCCGAAGCAAAGUUGUAUCACUUUAAGCUAGCUUUCUAAUGCAUUUUGAAUUUCCUCAAUCAGAUAACAAACGAAAAAGUUAUGACAAAAAUACUGAAAAAUGCGCAGUGUAGUCUUUCCACCUGAAAUAGGAGCCACCACGCUGAAAAUAACAAUAAAAGUGGCGCCGCAAUACCAAUAUUGGGCACCGAGGUGCCGACUAUGGGGAAAAAGGAUUUUUUUUUUUGUUUUUGAACUCUUUGUUUGGCCCAACUCAACCCUAAUUCGUCCAAAAACUUCAAAAUACUAUAAAUACCAUUCAAAAGACAUAUUUUCUCCAACAAUUGAAGGGGACAAGAUUGAAGUCAAUUCCACAAACAAUUCAUCAAGAGCAAGGAGGCUAACAUCAAGGAAUCGAGCAAGGAAGCAUGAAGAACAUCAAGAGGUAUUCCAAUUAAAAGCUUCAAAAAGAGUUUUUCUUUCUUUUCCUCUUUAUGUUAUUCAUCAAUAUGUUUAGAUUUGUUUCUUCUAUCACGAACUAAACAUUUAAUUUAGGGUUUGAUUGUAAUCAAAACUUUAAGAAUAUAGAUUGAUUAAUUUUAGUUAUUUCUAUUUGAUUUUCCAUGUUUAUUUAUUCGUGAUAUAAUUUUAAUGCUUUCAAUUAAUUGACUACUAAUUGAAUGAGUAGAUGCUAGUUAAUUCCAGCACUCGAGGGAGAGGAACUUAGGCUCGAUCAUAAGAUUAACAUAACAUAGAAUUUAUGGGUUUCGAGAGAAAGUAUAAAUUCUUUGAAGGAUGUUCCAUCUAAGAAAACGAUCUAAAUAAUUUUUUGACUUUAAUUUAGAAUAAAGAUAUUGGGAUUAAUUGUUGAGAAAAAUAUAGGAAAAUCUGAAAACUUAAUGAAUUCCAACGUUAUCUUUUAAGAUAUGUUUCUCCCUUAUCCAAUGAAGUCACAAUUGGGGUAUGAUAGAAAAUCUCUCUCAGGAUAUAAUGGAGGCGUUUGAUUCAAAUUGUGAUUAUUUGAUCAAACUAAGAAGACACUCGAAAAAAAAGGACUGAUGAUGCCAAAAAAGAGAAGAAUAAUUUUUUUUUAAUGUGUUUUGCAAACGAGAAUUCGCCCAGAAUUUAUAGAAAUUGAAGCAACUAUUUGAAUAGGUAUGUCCCUUGAAAUGAAGAACACAUCUAUUGGAAGUAAUUGUAAAAAACGAACAGAUGCACCUAUUCAAAGACUUUUGAAAAUAAAAUUAUCUUUCCGAGGUGUUGCCCCCUCGACCCCUGCGACCUGACCGGGCAGGUCAAU